CUGGCAUACUAAAUGCCCAUGGGGUGUCUACUUUUAAAAAAUUUAUGAUUUGAUGGGGUAAAUUGAAUUGGCCGGGUUCAACAAUGUCCCAAUUAACACAGGGGGAAGGAUGGCCACACAUCUAAUUUCCAAUUAGAAAAAUGCACAUGUACCAAAUGUGGCCUUUUAGUUCCCCCAAAAAAUGACAAACCCAUGCAUGUGGGGUAUCACUGCACUCAGGAGAUGUUGCUGAACACAUAUUGGGGUGUUUUAUGAUAGUGACAUAUACGAGAACUUUUUAAUUCAUACCUGAAGUAAAAUGUGUGUGACAAAACAAAUGCAAAAAAAUGACUACCACAAAGUUUGACAAAGACUGGUGGUAGAUAUGGUGCAUGGAAAGAGUUAAAAUACUAGAAUUUGAAAUACCCUGGGGUGUCUAGUUUUCAAAAA